rnacentral:rRNA from 1 species
UCUUGACAUCCAGAGAACUUUCCAGAGAUGGAUGGGUGCCUUCGGGAACUCUGAGACAGGUGCUGCAUGGCUGUCGUCAGCUCGUGUUGUGAAAUGUUGGGUUAAGUCCGCAACGAGCGCAACCCCUAUCCUUUGUUGCCAGCGAUUCGGUCGGGAACUCAAAGGAGACUGCCGGUGAUAAACCGGAGGAAGGUGGGGAUGACGUCAAGUCAUCAUGGCCCUUACGAGUAGGGCUACACACGUGCUACAAUGGCGUAUACAAAGAGAAGCGACCUCGCGAGAGCAAGCGGACCUCAUAAAGUACGUCGUAGUCCGGAUUGGAGUCUGCAACUCGACUCCAUGAAGUCGGAAUCGCUAGUAAUCGUAGAUCAGAAUGCUACGGUGAAUACGUUCCCGGGCCUUGUACACACCGCCCGUCACACCAUGGGAGUGGGUUGCAAAAGAAGUAGAUAGCUUAACCUUCGGGAGGGCGUUUACCACUUUGUGAUUCAUGACUGGGGUGAAGUCGUAACAAGGUAGGCGUAGCGAG